rnacentral:rRNA from 1 species
ACCCGCACAAGCGGUGGAUUAUGUUGUUAAUUCGACGCAACGCGAAGAACCUUACCAGCCUUGACAUACUCGGCAAAGCUCUAGAGAUAGAGUGGAGGUUAUCCGGGAUACAGGUGGUGCAUGGUUGUCGUCAGCUCGUGUCGUGAGAUGUUGGGUUAAGUCCCGCAACGAGCGCAACCCCUACGUUUAGUUGCUAACGCGUGAAGGCGAGCACUCUAGACGAACUGCCGUUGACAAAACGGAGGAAGGUGGGGAUGACGUCAAAUCAUCAUGCCCCUUAUGUUCUGGGCUACACACGUGCUACAAUGGCCGGUACAGACGGACGCAAAGCCGCGAAGCGGAGCAAAUCCGAAAAAGCCGGUCUCAGUUCGGAUUGCAGGCUGCAAUUCGCCUGCAUGAAGUCGGAAUCGCUAGUAAUCGCAGGUCAGCAUACUGCGGUGAAUACGUUCCCGGGCCUU